UACAGAGGUCUCAAGCGUUGUUCGGAUUCAUUGGGCGUAAAGGGUGCGUAGGUGGCGCACUAUACGGGGUGUGAAAUUUCGGAGCUUAACUCCGAAACUGCAUUCGAUACUGCGGUGCUUGAGGACUGGAGAGGAGACUGGAAUUCAUGGUGUAGCAGUGAAAUGCGUAGAUAUCAAGUGGAACACCAGUGGCGAAGGCGAGUCCCUGGACAACUCCUGACACUGAGGCACGAAAGCUAGGGGAGCAAACAGG
rnacentral:rRNA from 1 species